GACGAACGCUGGCGGCGUGCCUAAUACAUGCAAGUCGAACGCUUCUUUCCUCCCGAGUGCUUGCACUCAAUUGGAAAGAGGAGUGGCGGACGGGUGAGUAACACGUGGGUAACCUACCCAUCAGAGGGGGAUAACACUUGGAAACAGGUGCUAAUACCGCAUAACAGUUUAUGCCGCAUGGCAUAAGAGCGAAAGGCGCUUUCGGGUGUCGCUGAUGGAUGGACCCGCGGUGCAUUAGCUAGUUGGUGAGGUAACGGCUCACCAAGGCCACGAUGCAUAGGCGACCGGGGAGGGUGAUCGGCCACACUGGGAGUGAGACACGGCCCAAACCCCGAGGGGAGGCAAGAGGAGGGAAUUUUCGGAAAUGGAAGAAAGUCUGACCGAGCAACGCCGGGUGAGUGAAGAAGGUUUUCGGAUCGUAAAACUCUGUUGUUAGAGAAAAACAAGGACGUUAGUAACUGAACGUCCCCUGACGGUAUCAAACCAGAAAGCCCCGGCUAACUACGG
rnacentral:rRNA from 1 species